AUGGUGGGCAUUCCAGACCACGCCUGGUGUCGCGCUUCCGCUGAGACGCUGCUCUCGCCGUUCUGUGACAUCAUCGAAGUCUCGCCGGAGACGGAGACCAUGGCGGACAUGGCUGUCUUCCGCCUCUCCACCUGGACCCUGAAUCCUGACGCCAUCCCUCGCCUCUCCGAGCUUCUCCUGCCGGUGUCGGACGACGCCCUGGCGAACGCCGACCCCAACAUGGUGUUGCACUUUGGGGCACCCCCUCCUGCGCUUUCCAGUCUCCAUUCAUGUCUCCAGCUCGGAGGACUACCGUCUGCCGGUGGCGCCCUCUCCGUCCCCGCCCCGCGACGACGACGGCGUGUUCGAGCCCCCAUCACCGCCCGUUCUGCCCCCCUAUCCGCGGCGUCAUGA
rnacentral:rRNA from 1 species